GUGCUCACCUUGGCAGCACAUCUACUACACUUAUAACAAUACAGAGAAGAUUAGCAUGGCCCGUGCGUGAGGAUGCCAGGCAGAUUCUAGAAGUGUUCCAGAUUUUA